GGAAUAUUUUCUGUCUUCAAACACACUGCAGAUGCUGCAUAACAUGAAAGGACAGUUUGCUGAGCAUCUUCUUGGAGCUGGAUUUGUAAGCAGUAGAAAUCCUAAAGAUCCAGAAUCUAAUAUAAAUUCAGAUAAUGAGAAGAUAAUUAAAGCUGUCAUCUGUGCUGGUUUAUAUCCCAAAGUUGCUAAAAUUCGACUAAAUUUGGGUAAAAAAAGAAAAAUGUAAGCAUUGAAGAUUAUUAUUAAUUACUAGUAAUUCUCUUCUUAAACUUUUGAAAUCUGCUCAUGUAACAAGGCUUAUAUUGUAAAUUUGUUCUUAUUCAUAUGUGGGUUAUAUUCUUGUUCUUUUAAUCAUUUCAGAGAAGGUGAACUGUUUAGCAUUGAUAUCACUUUCCCUCACAACACAUCCUGGAAUCACUUCUCUGAUAACCCAUUAUUCACAAAGAAUGCUACCACAUGAUACCAGUGUAAAUAUUAGAAAAGCCAGCCUGCUAGUAAAUACCAGUGGCUGGAUAAAAAUUGCUUAGAGUAGAUUUUAUUUCAGAAACUUUUUUCCUCUUGCCUUAUAAAUGGAUAACUUAGCUCUUUGAAUAAAAUUGUAAUUUCACUAUUUUGAGAAAUAAAGUAUAAUAAUAUAUGUACAGGUAGCCUCAGUAGUAAUUGGAGACAACAGUGAAGUAUGAGCUAGAAUGAGCUCAUUCUAGCUAAAGGAUACAGAGAAACUAAGAGUCACAAAUGGCCAGUAGUAGUGUGGUUGCUACUAUUUUGGAAGACACUCUGUAUUAGAAUUAUGUAUUGAGUCAUUAAAAUAGUCACUGACCCAGUGCAUGAUGAGUGAGUUUUUAAUUUGAUAGCUGUGUCUUAAGGAAGUAAUUUCAAAUGUUUUCUAACAGCUAUAUUGUAAAUAAUAUAGAUUUCUAGUAGCCAUGGGAAAAUUGUGGUUUUAUAAUACUAUAAUGCGUCUCCAUAGGUGGGCAUUAAAACAGUCAUCGUGUAGUAACAUGUAAAAUAUUUAAACUGAUGUUAAAUGAAAGUUGGAUAUUCUAGAAUUAUAAACAUGAAAAAAUAAAGACUUUAAAGAUAGGCCAAAGUGCAGACAUUGUUCUUGGGCAGUGGUUCUCAACUGGCAUGAUUUUGCCCCCAAAGGGGACAUUGGAAAGUGUCUGGAGAUACUUGUGGUUGUCGUAACAGUGUGUCAGUAGUACUAAAGUCAAGAAACCCUAUUCCAAGGUAUAAGGUAAUGGGUAGCUGAUGAAUUUUAAUCAUUGUGGUUGGAUUAUUCACAUUUUAAGUGACCUAAGUACUUUUUCAAAAUAAUACUUAGCCAGAAAUUUUUGUGUGUGUGUGUACCUAACUUUACAGGUAGCUUAACAGUGAGUCACUUUGAAAUUCAUUUUAUUUUCCUAUCUGCCAUCCUGGGAGGGCUUUCUGAAAAAAUGUAGUUUUCUUUGGACUGGUGCAUUGUUUUGGUCCAGACUAGGGGUCAGCAAAUUUUGACCUAUAGGCCAAAAACUUGUUUUUGUCCUUUUUUUGUUGGAACACAAACAUGUUGUUUUCAUGUUGUCUAUUCUGCUUUCCUUCUACAUUAGCAGAGUUGGACAGAAAUUAUAGAGCCCCAAAUAUAGACCCUAAAAUAUUUACUCUCUGGUCCUGUAUAGAAAUUUUCUGGGCCAGGCACAGUGGCUCACACCUGUAAUCCUAGCACUUUGGUUGGCUGAGGCUGUUAGAUUACUUGAGCCCAGGAGGUGGAGGUUGCAGUGAGUCAAGAUCACACCACUGCACAUUGAGAGAUCAUGCUAUUGCAGUCCAGCCUGGGUGACAGAACGAGACCCUGUCUCAAAAAAAAAAAAAAAAAAGAAAUUUGCCAACUUCUGCUCUAGUUAUGCAGGGUGGCAGGAUGGCAUUGGUAAAUUGACUUGAAGUGAGAAAAAAUAAUUUCUGGUUUUAUUCUAAGUAUUUAAAACUAUAAAUUCGUAACUGUGAUUCAUGAUUUUGAUUACAAGUCUUAUGAAUUCUUAGAACUUCAGAAGUGGCCAGGUGCGGUGGUUCACACUUGUAAUCCUGGCACUUUGGGAGGCCAAGGUAGGCGGACCACCUGAGGUCAGAAGUUUGAGACCAGCCUGGCCAACGUGGUGAAACCCCAUCUCUACUAAGAAUACAAAAACUAACUGGGCGUGGUGGUGGCACAUGCCUGUAAUCCCAACUACCCACGAGGCUGAGGCAGGAGAAUCGCCGGAACCCGGGAGGUGGAGGCUGCAGUGAGCUGAGAUUGGGCCACUGCACUCCAGUCUGGGUGACGGAGCAAGACUCCGUCUC
rnacentral:sRNA from 1 species